GCAAGUCGAGGGGUAACAGGAAUAGCUUGCUAUUUGCUGACGACCGGCGCACGGGUGCGUAACGCGUAUAGAACCUACCUUUUACAGAGGGAUAGCCUUUAGAAAUGAAGAUUAAUACCUCAUAGUAUUGGAGAUCGGCAUCGAUCCCUAAUUAAAGAUUUAUCGGUAAAAGAUGGCUAUGCGUCCUAUUAGCUAGAUGGUAAGGUAACGGCUUACCAUGGCGACGAUAGGUAGGGGUCCUGAGAGGGAGAUC
rnacentral:rRNA from 1 species